rfam:Triticum aestivum genome assembly, contig: Triticum_aestivum_CS42_TGACv1_scaffold_542660_6DS
GAAAUACUCCCUCCGUUCGGAAAUACUUGUCAUCAAAAUAAAUAAAAGGGGAUGUAUUAAGAUGUAUUUUAAUUCUAGAUACAUCCCUUUUUGUCCAUUUUAAUGACAAGUAUUUUCGGACAGAGGGAGUAUUCC